UACAGAGGGUGCGAGCGUUGUCCGGAAUCACUGGGCGUAAAGGGCGCGUAGGCGGCUUGGUAAGCGUGCGGUGAAAGCUCGAGGCUCAACCUCGAGUCUGCCGUGCGAACUGCCGAGCUGGAGCACGGUAGAGGCACAUGGAAUUCCGGGUGUAGCGGUGGAAUGCGUAGAGAUCCGGAAGAACACCGGUGGCGAAGGCGGUGUGCUGGGCCGUAGCUGACGCUGAUGCGCGACAGCGUGGGGAGCAAACAGGAUUAGAUACCCUGGUAGUCCACGCCGUAAACGAUGGGCACUAGGUCCUUGGGGGAGCGACCCCUUGAGGGCCGUCGCAAACGCAUUAAGUGCCCCGCCUGGGGAGUACGGCCGCAAGGCUGAA
rnacentral:rRNA from 1 species